rnacentral:rRNA from 1 species
GACGAACGCUGGCGGCGCGCUUAACACAUGCAAGUCGAGCGAGAACCAGGGCUUCGGCCAUGGGGACAGCGGCGAACGGGUGAGUAACACGUGGAUAACCUGCCCUCGGCACCGGGAUAGCCCGGGGAAACCCGGAUUAAUACCGGAUGGCCCUUCCGGCUCACGAGCCGGUCGGAAAAGGUAGCUUCGGCCUCCGGCCGAGGAUGGGUCCGCGGCGGAUUAGCUUGUUGGUGGGGUAACGGCCCACCAAGGCUCCGAUCCGUAGCUGGUCUGAGAGGACGAGCAGCCACACUGGGACUGAGACACGGCCCAGACUCCUACGGGAGGCAGCAGUGGGGAAGCUUGCGCAAUGGGCGAAAGCCUGACGCAGCGACGCCGCGUGAGGGAGGAAGGCCUUCGGGUUGUAAACCUCUUUCAGGAGGGACGAAGCUACUCGGGUGAAUAGCCCAGAGGGUGACGGUACCUCCAGAAGAAGCCCCGGCUAACUACGUGCCAGCAGCCGCCGUAACAC